ensembl:lncRNA
GGUUCCUUGGACUGCAGCUCGGUCAGCAGGAUUGUAGGCCUUCAUUUGUACGAGAGGAAACGGAGAGUCCUGCGGCGUGAUGGGACUUGUGGUUGCCGCGAAGGAGACGGAGCCUGGUGGGAUCUGUAAUCGUCUGGCAGUUUCCCUGCCCGAGCGCCGCAGUCACCGUAUGGCACCGCGGCUGGGGCAGCGUGGGGGCUGCGGCCGAGCCAGACUCCGGCACCGCGGGGCAGCUCGCGAUCCGCUUAAACACAGAACGUGUGUGUGUGUGUGUGAGUGUGAGAUUCUCUGGAGCGCGGAUGGUGGGCCUGUGCCAUACAAGCAUUAGCUCAGUUAAUUUCGUCACACCUCUCUGCGAGGGACCUUAUUUCUUUUAUUCAAUAAAUCAUUCUUUCCUCCUUCUCUUCCUCCCCCUCCCCUUCCUCCUUCUUUCUUUUUUCUUCUUCUUUGAUGCUGGGAGCAAACUUUUCUUUUCUUUCUUUUUUUUUUUUAGAUAGAGUCUUGCUGCAUAUCCCAGGCUGGCCUCGAACUUACAGCGAUCCUCCUGAGUGCUGGGAUUAUAGGCGUGUGCCAACAUGGUCUGGCAGCAAACAUUUCUUGAACUUUUUCCCCCCAAUUUUAAUUUUUUAUUAGUACGCGUUUGCAGCACACACGAUUACCUUCCUCAUGGGGUGUUGGUGCAUGUAUACAACACAUCUUCUUUCUUCCUCCCUUCCGCCCUCCAUCUCGUGGGCCCUUCCUAUUUGCAAAUGAUCUGUCUUCCUAUUAUCUAUCCUUUAUUUUGCUCUUUUUUAUAUUUUGAGUUUAGUAUACAAGAAAGACCAUGCAGGGCCGGGGAUUUAGCUCAGUGGUUCUGCUGCCUGCCUCGCAAGCACAAGGUCCAGGGUUCAAUCCCCGGUACCAAAAAAAAAUUUUUAAAAAAGACCAUGCAAUCGCUUCUCGGCCUUUUGCCUAAGAUCAAGUGAAAGACCAUGCAAUAUUUAAGCCUGUGUGUCUGAUUUAUUUCAUUUAACAUUAUGGCUUCAAGGUGCAUCCAUUUUCCAACCAAUGACUCAAGUUUAUCCUUCUUUGUGGCAGAGUAGUACUCCAUUAUGUGUAAACACAUUUUCUUGAUCCAUUCAUUUGUUGAUAGACACGUAGGCCAUUUCCAAGAUUUAGCUGUUAUGAGCUGUGCUGCUAUAAACAUGGGCGUGCAUGGAUCACUGUAAUGUGAUGCCUUGAACUCUUAGAAAAAUGAAAAAAGUACUCCCUGCUAGUAAGUGGAAAACUGGUACUGGAACCCGAAAUCCCUGACUUCCUAGUUAGUUCCACAACCUUUCUGCCAAGUUAUGUGGGGAUAAGGACUAUUUUAGCAUUCGUUCUUUCAUUCAUUCGUUCGUUCAUUCACCCUUAUUAGACUACGCUGUGGCUUAAACCCAGGGGAGACAGGCUGGGUCCAGAUCGGGAGGAGUGGCAAGCUCCAGGCCCGACUCCGAAGGGCACUGCAUGUUUGGAAGAGACUGGUGGCUGCAGACAAAACCGAUCCCACGGGUCUCCGUUGUUCAGACUGACUUCGAACUCACUAUAUAGCCCAGCCUGGCCUCCAACUUGCAGCAAUCCUUCUGCCUCAGCCUCCCGAGUGCUGGGAUUAUUGUGUACCACCAGGCCCGCCUGGACUUAUCCAUUUUUGACUUUACAAUAGUACAAAAGCUAUGUGCACUCAGUGAAACUGCACUUUGAAUUUUGAUUUUUUUCCCAGGCUAUGGAGAUGCAGUAUUAUACUCUAGCAGUACCUGCCUCUGCCAAGCCCUGGAUCAUGAAGGCAAGUGACUGCUACUCUUUGUUUGUAUAUCUCCAUCUGGAGACACCUGGCCACAGGUACAUAUUCAAAUGCUCACACACAAAAAAAGAGAUAAAGUCUCAAAUGCUCACACACGUCCAAACAUAGAAUUAUGUUUGAGACAGUGCACCCUGUGAUUAUAUGCUGGUACUCCAAGUCAGACUGCCUGGAUUCCACUCUGGGCCUAGUCAUUUCCUGGCUGGUGAAUCUCUGAUGCCUGGACUCUUUCAUCGUUGAAGUGGAACAAGCAUAGUACCACGUAACGUUGUUGUGAGAAGUCAGUGAAGUAAUAUGUGAAAAGUCCGCGGAACAGCGGUCGGCACAUGUAACUGUUAUUAACGUGAUGCAUUGUGUUGGCAACUUGAUUUUAAUAUAUGGUGGAAUGCAGACAAACUUAGCUGUUUUCAGUGAUUCUGUAAUAGCCAUAAUUUAUCUAACCACUUCUUCAUUGUUAAAUGUUGAGAUUGUUUGCAGUUUUUGUGCUUGCAAAUAAUGCUGCGACAGCCAUCCUCAUAAAUAUAUGAGGAGAUAUGUUUACCAAUUUGUAUUUAUUUCUUAGAAUCCAUUCUCUUUUAUUUUUUGUCUCUUUCAUUUUGGCCUUCUCUUUUUCUUUUUUGGUGCCAGGGAUCAAACUCAGGACCUUACCCUUACUGGGCAGGCGCUGCACUGCUGAGCAACAUCCUCAGGUUGGAAUUUAUUCCCAGAGCAGAGUAACUGGUUCAAACUGGAUACAGUUCCUGAAGCCUGCCCAGGCUCGGGAGGAAGCAGUGUCGGCCAUAUCACCCUGACAGGUGGGGACCAUCUGUAUCUGCAUUUAGAUUUCAAAACGGGUCUUGAAGGUCAAUCAGCCCUGAAGGUAAGCUCUGUGAAAAUCUGAGCUGUUUAUUCUCUGUUGUAUCCCAGGUGUUUCAAUGAGUAACUGGUGCUCAGCAGAUACUCAGUAAAUAUUUGUUAAAGGACUGACUGGCUGUUACUAGUUAGUGACUGAAAGUCUGAUCAACUUUAGGCAAACAAAAGUAAUUUUGAGUUUUCCCAAAGUGGAAGCUCAUUUUCUUUUUAAAUUGUGGCUAAAAUUCAGAUUACAUAAAGUUGCCGCCUUAACCACUUUUAGUUUUUUGGUUUGUUUUUUCUUUGAGGCAGGCUCUUGCUUUGUAAUUCAGGCUGGCCCUGAACUCACUAUGUAGCCCAUGCUGGCCUCGAACUCACAAUGAUCCUCCUGCCUCAGCCUCCCGAGUGCUGGGAUGAUGAGUGGGCCACCACGCCUGGCUACCUACCACUUUUAUCUUUUUUCUGCAUUUUUUUUGGAGGGUCCCGAGUUCGAUCCCUGGUACCAAAAAAAAAGUCUUUUCCUUAGGGGCCAGGGAUUUAGCUCAGUGGUUCCGGCGCCUGCCUCGCAAGCGCAAGGUUCCCAAGUUCAAUCCCCGGUACCAAAAAAAAAAAAAGCCAGCCUUAUCUACAGAGCAAGACCCUGUCUCAAAGCAACACAAAACAAAAAUCUCUCCACAG